GCAGACACAUUCCAGCCAAUCAGCAGCAGACCCUCCCUCCCAGACCCUCCCAUCUCCUGGACAGCAUCCAUUGUGAAGCUGCAUUCUUAGUGAGCUGUCCAGGAGGUGGGAGAGUCUGGGAGGGAGGGUCUGCUGCUGAUUGGCUGGAAUGUGUCUG